AUUGAACGCUGGCGGCAUGCUUUACACAUGCAAGUCGAACGGUAACAGGCCGCAAGGUGCUGACGAGUGGCGAACGGGUGAGUAAUGCAUCGGAACGUGCCCAGUCGUGGGGGAUAACGCAGCGAAAGCUGCGCUAAUACCGCAUACGAUCUAUGGAUGAAAGCGGGGGACCGUAAGGCCUCGCGCGAUUGGAGCGGCCGAUGUCAGAUUAGGUAGUUGGUGGGGUAAAGGCUCACCAAGCCAACGAUCUGUAGCUGGUCUGAGAGGACGACCGGCCACACUGGGACUGAGACACGGCCCAGACUCCUACGGGAGGCAGCAGUGGGGAAUUUUGGACAAUGGGCGCAAGCCUGAUCCAGCAAUGCCGCGUGCAGGAAGAAGGCCUUCGGGUUGUAAACUGCUUUUGUACGGAACGAAAAGGCUCUGGAUAAUACCUGGGGCUCAUGACGGUACCGUAAGAAUAAGCACCGGCUAACUACGUGCCAGCCGCCGCGGUAACAC
rnacentral:rRNA from 1 species